rnacentral:rRNA from 1 species
GACGAACGCUGGCGGCGUGCUUAACACAUGCAAGUCGAACGGAAAGGCCCUGCUUUUGUGGGGUGCUCGAGUGGCGAACGGGUGAGUAACACGUGAGUAACCUGCCCUUGACUUUGGGAUAACUUCAGGAAACUGGGUCUAAUACCGGAUAGGAGCUCCUGCUGCUUGGUGGGGGUUGGAAAGUUUCGGCGGUUGGGGAUGGACUCGCGGCUUAUCAGCUUGUUGGUGGGGUAGUGGCUUACCAAGGCUUUGACGGGUAGCCGGCCUGGGAGGGGGACCGGCCACAUUGGGACUGGGAUGCGGCCCAGACUCCUACGGGAGGAAGCAGUGGGGAAUAUUGCACAAUGGGCGGAAGCCUGAUGCAGCAACGCCGCGUGGGGGAUGACGGCCUUCGGGUUGUAAACCGCUUUCGCCUGUGACGAGGCGUGAGUGACGGUAAUGGGUAAAGAAGCACCGGCUAACUACGUG